GCAACACGAGUAUCGCAUCUAUUCGUUCAAUGAAACGCUGAGGAUUACACUCAGUGACCUCAAUUUGAUAACGGGCAAAAUUACACGGAGGAUGUAUUUAUAAUUCGUUUUUAAAAUAUUGUUGACAUGCAGUAUUAAACUGCAUAAAGUGUUACUAUUAUUAUAACUACAAAAACACGAUAUAUAUUUCUUACUCUUUUAUGUCCUUCGGUGACUUAUUGUUGGUAUAGAUAACGAUAUACAGCCUUUGUUAUGUUAUUUUUUCUUUAAUAAAAUUUAUAAUUUUGCAGCCCGAUAACUUCUCCGACUUGCUAAAUUCUUCUCUUUAUGAAAAGAGAAUCACUAAAUAAUAAAUUUUUUAUUCUUAUUGCCUCGCCACUCACUUAUGUGUACAUAUAUGUAUCCCAAGAGCGUAAUUAAAAAUAUUUCAUGAGUCCAUUACUGAUGCAAUCAUACGAUAACAAAUAUAGCUGGAAGACGAUUCGAAAGGCGCUUUUGUCCGGACACAAAUAAUCAUCGCUCCUCAGCUGCGCGGUUCGCAGUAUAAAUAUUCGCAACACCAAGCUUCGCAAGUUGUUUCUGCGGAGCACACGUUCCUACCACACGGCACGCGAGGGCUAUUUACAAGCGUCUACAGAGAAUUGCACGUUGCUUGUGACCUUACGCGAAAACUGAAGUCGCGAAGAUAGAUCGAUCCCGCGGAAGCAACCUCACGGAGACACCAGUAUUAUUCAGUAAUUAGCGGAUCACGAUGGUAGUUAUACCUAUGAUACCGUUUUUCCUAGGCUAUCUUGCAGGGAAUACAAGUGACCCUACGCCCUCGUACACAUUUCAAGUGCGGAUAGAAACGUUAUUAUUCAGAACACGUAAUAUAGAAGGCAACGCCGACAUGCAGUUCCAUCUGAAAUGUCAGCCGUAUACGGAUCAAAAUUUAAUAUGUCACAUCGAGAAGAGCCCUUCUUAUUCACCUAACACUGACCGCGCACACAUAAUAGACAAACUCAGCAACAUACUUUGCAUAAUGAACUUCCAUCCGUACGGAUUAAGAAGUUAUGACUUAUUCCCGGAAAACGUGGAAAACAAGGAGACUGCGUUGGAAGUAUUUCGGUUUGUCGCGCAUCAGCUGAACGUCGGCGUGAACCUUAAAAAAUACUACGCCGUCGAAUUCAGUGCGUUAGAGGACACCGUUAUCGGCAUAUGCGCGACAAUUUAUAAAAUAAGUCGAAAUAAGGCUUCCAAUUAUAUAAUAAAUUCCGAGCUGGUCUCCUUAAUUGAGAAUGAAAUGUACACUAUAAAGAAGGACGAAUCGGUCAAUAUUAAGAAAAUAAGGCUUGUGCAAUAUUGCCAAUCGAGGAACGACUCUAUCUUCGGAAGGAUCUUAUGGCCCAACCUCAUAACAUCGAAUAUCGUCGCGAAGCCGUUUAUUUCGGGGUCUGAAAUGACAUAUAACCUGCGCGAUUUCUACACCAGUACUUCAAAUCAAUUUAAUCUCUAUAAUGAGCAAGGUAGGAUAGUUGGCUCUGUCCAGGAAACGAUUAAUCUUAAAUUGGUAAGGAUAGAAAACUGAAAAACGCGACACGAGUAUCGCAUCUAUUCGUUCAAUGAAACGCUGAGGAUUACACUCAGUGACAUCAAUUUGGUAACGGGCAAAAUUACACGGAGGAUGUAUUUUUAAUUCGUUUUUAAAAUAUUGUUGACAUGGAGUAUUAAACUGCAUAAAGUGUUACUAUUAUUAUAACUACAAAAACACGAUAUAUAUUUCUUACUGUUUUAUGUCCUUCGGUGACUUAUUGCUGGUAUAGAUGACGAUAUACCGCCUUUGUUAUGUUGUUAUUUUUACUUUAAUAAAAUUUUGCCGCCCGAUAACUUCUCCGACUUGCUUAAUUCUUCUCUUUAUGAAAAGAGAAUCACCAAAUAAUAAAUUUCUUAUUCUUAUUACCUCGUCACUCACUUAUGUGUACAUAUAUGUGUCUCAAGAGCGUAAUUAAAAGUAUUUCAUGAGUCCAUUACUGAUGCAAUCAUACGAAACAAAUACAGAGUAAUGAUCCUCUUCAAAUAGCAUAGAACAUGUGGAUGGAAACAUUUGCGAUCAGGGAAAUAAGCAUUUAAAAAGUGCAUCACGCAGAGCAGCACUUAGCACGAAAAUUGCAGCCAAGAGAAAUCGAUUACAAAUUGUGAUCAGACUUCUUCAUGGCAACUGUACACGUGAUACCUUUUCUCUUAGUUCCGAGUAGCGAAACAACCAACAAAUCUGUAUUCACAUUUAAAGUGUGGACACAGAUAAAACACGACGAACUAUUGCACAAACUAGAUACGUCAUAUGACAAUACCCUGUUUAACAUUGUCGUGUGUGAGCCGUCCUUAUCUGGUCUUGGUUGUUUCAUCGACAAAGUCAAGCAUACUUAUAAAAAGGAUUUUUAGAAUUGCAACUUCGUUGUAACUUCUAUCAUCUAUAAGCGAGUACAGUUCGUAAUAACAUUCAAUAUGUACAAAGUGGUAUGUUACAUUUAUAUGCAAGACGGCCCGAAUACGUCGUUUUUGCGAGACAUCUGCGAGAUGGUCGGGGAUCAGCUGAAUAUCGGUACGGACAUAGUAAUACCGAACGGACAUUACUUCAAAGCGCUGGAGAAUUCCGCUAUCGGCAGAUGCCUGACGUUUUAUCAAGUCUUUUAUCAACCUGGCUAUAAUGUGUCCGAUUACUUUCUGGAGCGAACAUUUCACAUAUUAGGCAACAAAGAUUUUAAGCUUAUUCCAAAUCACAUUUUGCAUGUUAGCAAAUACAGAUACAUGGACAGGUGCUCUCCGUCGCAUGAUUAUAUGUUGGGAAAAAUGUUCCAGCCCGAGUACAUUCCAGAUGACUACGUCUUGAAAUUAGAAUCUGUGCGAUAA